UGGGGAAUCUUGGAAAAUGGGGGAAACCCUGAUCCACCCAUCCCGCGUGUGCGAUGAAGGCCUUCGGGUUGUAAAGCACUUUUGGCAGGAAAGAAACGUCAUGGGUUAAUACCCCGUGAAACUGACGGUACCUGCAGAAUAAGCACCGGCUAACUACGUGCCAGCCGCCGCGGUAAUACGUAGGGUGCAAGCGUUAAUCGGAAUUACUGGGCGUAAAGCGUGCGCAGGCGGUUCGGAAAGAAAGAUGUGAAAUCCCAGAGCUCAACUUUGGAACUGCAUUUUUAACUGCCGGGCUAGAGUGUGUCAGAGGGAGGUGGAAUUCCGCGUGUAGCAGUGAAAUGCGUAGAUAUGCGGAGGAACACCGAUAGCGAAGGCAGCCUCCUGGGAUAACACUGACGCUCAUGCACGGAAGCGUGGGGAGCAAACA
rnacentral:rRNA from 1 species